CUGGCUCAGAACGAACGCUGGCGGCGCGUUUAAGCAUGCAAGUCGAGCGGCAAGGGCCUUCGGGCCCUAGAGCGGCGGACGGGUGAGUAACACGUGGACAAUCUGCCCCCCGGCCCGGGAUAGCCCAGGGAAACCUGGAUUAAUACCGGAUGAGACGGGACCCGCGAUGGCGGGAUCCGGGAAAGGCGCUGCGGCGCCGCCGGGGGAUGAGUCUGCGUCCCAUUAGCUGGACGGCGGGGUAACGGCCCACCGUGGCGACGAUGGGUAGCCGGCCUGAGAGGGUGGACGGCCACAUUGGAACUGAGACACGGUCCAGACUCCUACGGGAGGCAGCAGCUAAGAAUCUUCCGCAAUGGGCGAAAGCCUGACGGAGCCGACGCCGCGUGAACGAAGAAGGCCGUGAGGUUGUAAAGUUCUUUUCGGGAGGGGGAACAACCGUGGCAGGGAAUGGCCGCGGGAUGACGUGAAUCCCGGAAUAAGCCCCGGCUAACUACGUGCCAGCCGCCGC
rnacentral:rRNA from 1 species